GCUUUGGUGGUUUAGUGGUAGAAUCCCCUGCCACGCGGGGGGCCCGGAUUCGAUUCCCGGCCAAUGCA
rfam:Ciona savignyi cont_31030, whole genome shotgun sequence.